AGAUGUGUGUGGCACGCUGAAGAACCUGUCCAGAAGAAGUCCAUGCUUCUGCAAGCUCACAGUCUGCGGUUGUGAUCCUGUAACUUACUCUGCAUGGCCCUUUUCUCAUGGAAACCUAAGCAGUCAAGAACAGGACAUUGGGACAGUGACACGGGAAGGGAGAAGAGAUCUGACAUGGAGCAUCUGGUGGCUUCUUCUAGAAAACUGGCCUCUGAGCAGGCGGCUGAUAUCAAAGACGAAACCCUUGGAUGGCCACCCACAGCUGUCUGACCCCUUUGAACAAAGUUUUGUGCCAUCCUGUGGACCCCUGUGCAGUUUUUGGGUUGCUAUUUAGCCUCAGC